rnacentral:lncRNA from 1 species
GGAUUGGGAUAUUCCGACUCCUUAAGGGCCUGGCGCACAUAAGGUGUGACCUUUUCAUUCCCGUUGUUAUGGAGGGCCACAUCUGCCAGAGCCUGGAGUCUGCGAAGGCCGGGACCCGGUUCCCCGGCCCACAGUGGGGGUGUGCAAACCCGAGAGAACUGGGUUGCAAAUUCGUGAAGAAUCAGCAUCAUGUUUGGCAGCUGAGUAUUGGAGCCAGGAGCCUGCCAUGAGGUUUUGAGAACAGAGUGCUGUUUUAGAGCUGGCAGCAGCAUCUCAGCCCAAGAGAAGGUAAGCCUUGAGCUGGCCAAUGAUCCCUUCAACCCCAUAGUGGAAUGAAUAAACAGCUGAUCUUGUUAAAACUCGCUUCAA